rnacentral:rRNA from 1 species
GACGAACGCUGGCGGCGUGCCUAAUACAUGCAAGUCGAGCGGAACACUUGGAGCUUGCUCCAAGCGUUUAGCGGCGGACGGGUGAGUAACACGUGGGCAACCUGCCCUGCAGAUCGGGGUAACUCCGGGAAACCGGUGCUAAUACCGAAUAGUUUGAGGCCUCUCCUGAGGCUUCACGGAAAGACGGUUUCGGCUGUCACUGGAGGCUGGGCCCGCGGCGCAUUAGCUAGUUGGUGGGGUAACGGCCCACCAAGGCCACGAUGCGUAGCCGACCUGAGAGGGUGACCGGCCACACUGGGACUGAGACACGGCCCAGACUCCUACGGGAGGCAGCAGUAGGGAAUCUUCCGCAAUGGACGCAAGUCUGACGGAGCAACGCCGCGUGAGUGACGAAGGUUUUCGGAUCGUAAAACUCUGUUGUGAGGGAAGAACACGUACCAACUAACUAUUGGUACCUUGACGGUACCUCACCAGAAAGCCACGGCUAACUACGUGCCAGCCGCCGCGGUAAAAC